GACGAACGCUGGCGGCGUGCCUAAUACAUGCAAGUAGAACGCUGACUACUUUAGCUUGCUAGAGUAGAAGGAGUUGCGAACGGGUGAGUAACGCGUAGGUAACCUGCCUACUAGCGGGGGAUAACUAUUGGAAACGAUAGCUAAUACCGCAUAACAGUGUUUAACACAUGUUAGAUGCUUGAAAGAUGCAAUUGCAUCACUAGUAGAUGGACCUGCGUUGUAUUAGCUAGUUGGUGGGGUAACGGCCCACCAAGGCGACGAUACAUAGCCGACCUGAGAGGGUGAUCGGCCACACUGGGACUGAGACACGGCCCAGACUCCUACGGGAGGCAGCAGUAGGGAAUCUUCGGCAAUGGGGGCAACCCUGACCGAGCAACGCCGCGUGAGUGAAGAAGGUUUUCGGAUCGUAAAGCUCUGUUGUAAGAGAAGAACGUGUGUGAGAGUGGAAAGUUCACACAGUGACGGUAACUUACCAGAAAGGGACGGCUAACUACGUGCCAGCCGCCGCCGUAA
rnacentral:rRNA from 1 species